CCCCUGAUGGCUUUUCUAAGAAAAUAAAUUUGUACGUGUAAAAACCCAUCCAGUAGGCAGAUGUUUCUGAGCCCACACCUCGCAGGUAAAAGAUCAGAGGAGGAGUGGCACAGAGGGAUCCAAAAGUGCUCAGGAGAGGUCCAAGCUGAUGUAUUUGGGCAGGAUUAUUUGAACCCAAAGAGCUCUGCAGCUGCCCCAAGCCUGGAGUUUGCAGAAACAAAAUGAGCUCCCCCUCCUGCCUCAUUUCCUGCCCUCUCUGCUCAAGGGAGAAUCACACCAUGCAAAUGAAGGCAGAGAAAUGGUGAGACCUGUCCAGUGCCCCCAGGAGGGCUGGCACCAGGGCUCAUUCCCUCCCCUGGCUGAUGGAACUUAAACCCAGCUGUUCUGGGAUUUCAGGAGCAAAACCCAGCUUUGCCACUUGCUGUUCCCUCCCUGCCACAUCUGCACAGCAGGAAUAUUGCUGUGUUCUGUGUCACGGCCCAAGGCAGCAGCCCUGGGAGUGCUGCUGGAACCCAGAACAGCCUCCCCUUCUCAGACACCAACCUGACCAGUCAGCCCCACACUCCUCCAAGGCCACAAAAACCACAAACCACUAAAAAGGGGUAUUUUAUACCAAACAGGACCCAUUUCGGAGGUCAAGCAUCGCCGGGCGGGUCCGUCCCCGUGUGGGGACCCCAGCGAGGGCGGGGGGCGCCGGGCUCCGGCCCUCGGGGCUUUAUUCGCCGGCACCCCGAGCCCCGCGGCUGCGAGGAAAGAAGGAAAAGGGGACGGGAAGAGAGGAGGGAGAGCAGGGCAUGGAAAGGGUGGGGACGUCGGUCGGGAUGUGCGGGAAUGCGGGAGGGAAAGGCCGGCAGGGAGGAAGAGGGACGGCGGAGAGAGGAGGGAGAGAACGGGAACAGAACGGAGGAGCGGGGCAGGGACAGGAGAGGGAGCGGGGGGGGGGUCCCGUUCGGGCGAAGAGGAGGGGUGGGUUAAGGGGAGAAAAAACAGAAAUAUGGAGAGAAGGAAGGAAGGGUACAGAGUGGGACGGGAGGGGAGGCCAAAAGGGGACGAGAAGGAAAGGGGGUAAGAGAAAUAAGGGGAAUACGAGCAGAAGGAAGAGUAGAAGGGGGCACCGGAGGGGAGGCCGAAAGGUGAGCGAAAGGAGUCGGCUUUGGGGAGGAGAGGAAAAGGGGGGAAAGGCAGAGAAAGAAGGGUAAUGGGAGCAGGAGGAAGGAAGGGUGGAGGCGGGCGAAGGAGAGAAAGCCGAACCUGCGGAGCCCGGACAGAGCCCACCCGUCCGCAACGCGCUCAGCGUGAGCAAAUGGCGGCCGGGGCGAUUCCCGGGGUUUAAAUAACCUCGGCCCCGCCCCGCGCAGCCGCGC
rnacentral:lncRNA from 1 species